rnacentral:rRNA from 1 species
UAGGGAAUCUUCCACAAUGGACGCAAGUCUGAUGGAGCAACGCCGCGUGAGUGAAGAAGGUUUUCGGAUCGUAAAGCUCUGUUGUUGGUGAAGAAGGAUAGAGGCAGUAACUGGUCUUUAUUUGACGGUAAUCAACCAGAAAGUCCCGGCUAACUACGUUCCAGCAGCCGCUGUAAUACGUAGGUGGCAAGCGUUGUCCGGAUUUAUUGGGCGUAAAGCGAGCGCAGGCGGAAUGAUAAGUCUGAUGUGAAAGCACACGGCUCAACCGUGGAACUGCAUAGGAAACUGUCAUUCUUGAGUGCAGAAGAGGAGAGUGGAAUUCCAUGUGUAGCGGUGGAAUGCGUAGAUAUAUGGAAGAACACCAGUGGCGAAGGCGGCUCUCUGGGCGGCAAAUGACGCUGAGGCUCGAAAGCAUGGGUAGAGAACAGG